AGAGCGCAGGGUGGAUGCCUUGGCACUAAGAGCCGAUGAAAGACGUGAUAAGCUGCGAAAAGCUUCGGGGAGCGGCAAAUACGCAUUGAUCCGGAGAUCUCUGAAUGGGGAAACCUGGCUGAGCAAACCUCAGUCGUCGUGCGGUAAAUCCAUAGCCGUACGUCGGGAACCCGGUGAACUGAAACAUCUAAGUAGCCGGAGGAAAAGAAAGAAAGAUCGAUUCCGUAAGUAGCGGCGAGCGAACGCGGAAGAGGCCAAACCAAGAUGCCUAGCAUUUUGGGGUUCGGACCGCAUAAUUGAUUCUGUAAGCCUAAUGGAAAGGUUUUGGGAAAGCCUGCCACAGAGGGUGAAAGCCCCGUACAUGGAAGGUGAGCAGACAUGGCGGUAUCCAGAGUACCACGAGACACGAGAAACCUUGUGGGAACGAGCGGGGACCACCCCGUAAGCCUAAAUACUCCUUAGUGACCGAUAGAGCAUAGUACUGUGAAGGAAAGGUGAAAAGGACCCCGGGAGGGGAGUGAAAGAGAACCUGAAACCCUGUGUUUACAAGCUGUGGGAGUGCUAUAUAUGCACAACCGCGUACUUUUUGUAGAACGGUCCGGCGAGUUGCCGGUGCUGGCGAGGUUAAGCACUUCAAGGUGUGGAGCCGAAGGGAAACCAAGUCUUAAUAGGGCGAAUAAGUCAGUAGCGGCAGACCCGAAACCGGGUGAUCUACCCAUGUCCAGGCUGAAGUUGCCGUAAAAGGUAAUGGAGGGCCGAACCCGUAUCAGUUGAAAAUGGUUGGGAUGAGGUGUGGGUAGGGGAGAAAUUCCAAUCGAACCCGGAGAUAGCUGGUUCUCCUCGAAAUAGCUUUAGGGCUAGCCUCGGUUUAGUCUCACGGAGGUAGAGCACUGAAUUUCCUAGGGGGCGUCAAAGUCUACCGAAGAAUAUCAAACUGCGAAUGCCGUAGAGAUGAUGACCGGGAGUCAGACUGCACGAGAUAAGUUGGGCAGUCAAAAGGGAAACAGCCCAGAUCGCCGGCUAAGGCCCCAAAGUGCGUGUUAAGUGGAAAAGGAUGUGGGAUUUCAAAGACAACCAGGACGUUGGCUCAGAAGCAGCCAUACAUUUAAAGAGUGCGUAACAGCUCACUGGUCGAGAGGUCCUGCGCCGAAAAUGUCCGGGGCUAAAACACGCCGCCGAAGCCGCGGGAUGGUUGAAUGACCAUCGGUAGAGGAGCAUUGCUGUCGGGAAGAAGCAGUACCGGAAGGAGCUGUGGACUGACAGGAAGAGAGAAUGCCGGAAUGAGUAGCGAGAUGGGGGUGGGAAUCCCCCAGGCCGAAUAUCCAAGGUUUCCAGAGUAAAGCUGAUCUGCUCUGGGUAAGUCGGGACCUAAGGCGAGGCUGAGAGGCGUAGCCGAUGGACAACAGGUUGAGAUUCCUGUACUGCUGUAUGACAGAACUGUGGGGACACAGAGGGAAAGCGUAACCCGGGAAUGGAGAUACCGGGGCAAGCGGAGGAGGGGUCGCAUUGGAAAAGCCGUGCGGCAACCCGAAGACGUGAUGCGGAGCGAACUUAAAGUAGCGAAGUACGUGAGCCAGCUGUCAAGAAAAGCCGCUAUUGUUCAUGCAGUACCCGUACCGUAAACCGACACAGGUGGAUGAGGAGAGAAUCCUAAGGCCGACGGAAGAAGCAUUGUUAAGGAACUCGGCAAAAUAGCCCCGUAACUUCGGGAGAAGGGGCGCCUGGGAGACCAGGCCGCAGAGAAAUGGCUCAAGCAACUGUUUAGCAAAAACACAGGUCUAUGCAAAACCGUAAGGUGAAGUAUAUGGGCUGACGCCUGCCCGGUGCUGGAAGGUUAAGAGGAGAGGUCAGGGAAACCGAAGCCUUGAAUUCAAGCCCCAGUAAACGGCGGCCGUAACUAUAACGGUCCUAAGGUAGCGAAAUUCCUUGUCGGGUAAGUUCCGACCCGCACGAAAGGCGUAAUGAUUUGAGCGCUGUCUCGACAAUGCAUCCGGUGAAAUUGAAGUGCCAGUGAAGAUGCUGGCUACCCGCGCCAGGACGGAAAGACCCCAUGGAGCUUUACUCCAGCUUGGCACUGGGAUUCGGUGUUGCAUGUACAGGAUAGGUGGGAGGCUAAGAAGAGGUGACGUCAGUUGCCUUGGAGCCGCUGUUGGGAUACCACCCUUGCAGCACUGGGUUUCUAACCUGUCGCCGUAAUCCGGCGAAGGGACAAUGCCUGGUGGGGAGUUUGACUGGGGCGGUCGCCUCCGAAAGGGUAUCAGAGGCGCCCAAAGGUUCCCUCAGAAUGGUUGGAAACCAUUCGAAGAGUGCAAAGGCAGAAGGGAGCUUGACUGUGACACCGACGGGUGGAGCAGGUACGAAAGUAGGGCUUAGUGAUCCGGUGGAAUUUAAGUGGGAAUGCCAUCGCUCAACGGAUAAAAGCUACCCUGGGGAUAACAGGCUAAUCACUCCCAAGAGUUCACAUCGACGGAGUGGUUUGGCACCUCGAUGUCGGCUCAUCGCAUCCUGGGGCUGUAGCAGGUCCCAAGGGUUGGGCUGUUCGCCCAUUAAAGCGGUACGCGAGCUGGGUUCAGAACGUCGUGAGACAGUUCGGUCCCUAUCCGGCGUGGGCGGAGGAUAUUUGAGAGGAGCUGUCCUUAGUACGAGAGGACCGGGAUGGACUGACCUCUGGUGUACCGGUUGUAUUACCAAGUGCAUAGCCGGGUAGCCAAGUCGGGAAGGGAUAAACGCUGAAGGCAUCUAAGCGUGAAGCCCCCCUCAAGAUGAGAUAUCCCAUACGAAAGUAGUAAGACCCCUUGA
rnacentral:rRNA from 1 species